GGGUCCAACCUCCCACCCGUGUUUAUUUUACCUUGUUGCUUCGGCGGGCCCGCCUUAACUGGCCGCCGGGGGGCUUACGCCCCCGGGCCCGCGCCCGCCGAAGACACCCUCGAACUCUGUCUGAAGAUUGAAGUCUGAGUGAAAAUAUAAAUUAUUUAAAACUUUCAACAACGGAUCUCUUGGUUCCGGCAUCGAUGAAGAACGCAGCGAAAUGCGAUACGUAAUGUGAAUUGCAAAUUCAGUGAAUCAUCGAGUCUUUGAACGCACAUUGCGCCCCCUGGUAUUCCGGGGGGCAUGCCUGUCCGAGCGUCAUUGCUGCCCUCAAGCCCGGCUUGUGUGUUGGGCCCCGUCCCCCGAUCUCCGGGGGACGGGCCCGAAAGGCAGCGGCGGCACCGCGUCCGGUCCUCGAGCGUAUGGGGCUUUGUCACCCGCUCUGUAGGCCCGGCCGGCGCUUGCCGAUCAACCCAAAUUUUUAUCCAGGUUGACCUCGGAUCAGGUAGGGAUACCCGCUGAACUUAAGCAUAUCAAUAAGCGGAGGAA
rnacentral:rRNA from 2 species